CCUCAGUCGCUCUUCCGUUCUGUCUUCUCCUCUUCCUUGCCUCCGCUAGGGUUUUGCCAAUCCGGGCUCUCUUGGCAGAGGGAUUAGCUUUGCUGGAUCUCAUCCGUUGUUUCAGGUAUGGUUUGCCCUGUUUGCCGUUGUCCGGGUGCUCCGUGCUUACCAGUUGUGGAAGCUCAUGAAGUCCCAGAGGUUUUCGAUGUUGUAGUUGAUGAUGCUUGCUUCGGGAGGAUGGUGAGUUGUAUUAAUGUUCUUCAAAUAUAUGUACUUUCUAUGGGGUGAAUUUUUGUGUGCAUGUUAUUCAAGGAUUUCUUGUAUGAAACUUCUUUGCUGUUGUACAUUGUGUGCAAGAUUCAGUAUGAUUCACCUUUGAGUUUAAUUAUAGGUAUUGUGUAUCUCAUGUAGUUUAAAUCUUUUUUAACCAAGGCUCUUUGUAUGAAUCUUUCCUGUUGUUUAGUGUUUGCAAGUUUAGUAUCACCAAUCAAUGUGGGUUCAAUCAACCAAUAUAUGU